GAUGAACCGCGUAGGCUACAGCUUAACACAUGCAAGUCGAGGGGCGAGCGGGAUUAGAAGCUUGCUUCAAUUGCCGGCGACCGGCGCACGGGUGAGUAACGCGUAUCCAACCUUCCGCUUACUCGGGGAUAGCCUUUCGAAAGAAAGAUUAAUACCCGAUGGUAUCUUAAGCACGCAUGAGAUUAAGAUUAAAGAUUUAUCGGUAAGCGAUGGGGAUGCGUUCCAUUAGGCAGUUGGCGGGGUAACGGCCCACCAAACCUACGAUGGAUAGGGGUUCUGAGAGGAAGGUCCCCCACAUUGGAACUGAGACACGGUCCAA
rnacentral:rRNA from 1 species